AUCUAAAUGAUCAAGGUAGACUCACUCAUAUGUUAAAGAUAAUUCACUUUUUAAUUUCAUCUGAGAGCAUGUAAAACAUCUGAGGAUGGAAAAUUAGAAUGAAAGUGAAGCAGGCAUCAAAUCUCUCACCUCUGAACUGGGACUCAGUAAUGCAUGAAAAGGCUUUUAUCUCCGAUUUUGACCUACCCCUCGAUGGGAAUUUUCACGUCACAGAUGGAACCUCACCAGCAAUUAGCAAGCCUACAAAAAUACACAACUUCUGCCGAUGCAAUACACAAAACAUUCAGUAUCCUUAUAUUUCAAGGAGCUUCUUACAGCAGGAGAUGAUUUGUGACUGCAGAACUGAAGCUGAAGAUCACUCUCCCCUCUCUCUCUCUUUUCUGUCUUUCAAGCAAUACAAGUGUCUGGUUACGAGACGGAUUAAAAAGACGCAUCAGAACACCAACACGUAAAAGGAUAACUUCAACAUUCACUACUGCUGAUGAUUCAAGACACUGAAAUGACUGUGUUUUAUUCUGUGUUAUUUUAAAAAUCUGUGGAUUAAAAUGAAAAAAAAACUGUUUUAAAACCAAUGUUUGAAAGGGUGUCUGUAGGUUUAGAAAAUCAAGAACCUGACAUCCCUUGCUGAUAUCAUGUAAACAACUGAUUGAACAAGCAUAAAACAUAGAACAGUACAGCACAGCAACGGGCCCUUUGGCCCAUGAAGUUGUUGAACAAGAUGCCAAUAAACUGAUCCCUUCUGCCUGUCCUUGGUCUAUAUCCCUCCAUUCCUUGCAUAUUCAUGU